CUCGCAUCAGAUCCAGCC
rnacentral:snRNA from 1 species